GAAGAGAGAGAACAAAGGAGACUUGAGAAAGAGAGGGAAAGAGAGGAGAAAGAAAGAGAGCAGAGGAGGCUUGAGAGAGAGAGAGACCGAGCAAGGGAGAUUGAGAGAGAGAGGGAAAAGGGUAGACAAGCAGUUGAAAGGGCUACUAGGGAGGCACGUGAAAGAGCAGCUGCCGAAGCACGCCUAAAAGCUGAAAGAGCUGCUGUAGAAAAAGCAGCUGCUGAAGCUCGAGAGAGAGCAGAAAGGGCUGCAGUUCAGAGAGCACAAGCUGAAGCCCGUGAAAGGGCUGCUGCAGAGGCAAGAGAAAGAGCAGAAAAAGCUGCUGCAGAAGCACGGGAAAGGGCAAAUGCAGAAGCAAGAGAGAGAGCUGCAGUUGCAAGGGCUGAAGCUGAUGCUAGACAGAGAGCUGAACGAGCUGCUGUUGAAAGAGCUGCUGCAGAGGCUCGAGAAAGGGCUGCUGCAGAUGCUCGAGAAAGGGCUGCUGCUGCAUCUAGAGCAAACCAACAAAAGACAGAUGCCCAACAGAGGAAUGACAAUGAUCUUGAAUCAUUCUUCAGUUCUCGAGCGAGCAGUGCGCCAAGGCCUAGGGCUACCUCUUCGGAUCCUUUCUUUGAUACCCAGAAUAAGGGAGGGUCUGAAGCUGCCAGAAGGACACCUGUUGGAGUUACGUCAAGCAUGAAGAAAGCAUCUUCAACUGCAAAUAUUGAAGAUGAUCUAUCUUUGAUUUUUGGAGGUAGUUACAUUUUCUUGAUUGGAGUGUUUGCUGAGGAUCAUGUAAUUCUUUAUUGGCUAAACUACUUUUGCUUGCAAAAGCUACUGGAACGUCGGGAGAGUUCCAACAGUUUGAAGGAGAAACUGAAGAGAGGCGAAGAGCUAGGUUGGAACGUCACCAGAGGACUCAGGAACGUGCGGCAAAAGCGCUGGCUGAGAAGAAUCAACGGGACCUUCAAGCUCAGAGGGAACAAGCAGAGAGACAUAGGAUUGCUGAAACACUUGAUGUUGAGAUCAAGCGUUGGGCUGCAGGGAAAGAGGGGAAUCUACGUGCUCUUCUAUCAACGUUGCAAUAUGUGCGUUCAUAUUUUUUAUAUAUUUCAUAUCAUCUGCUGCACAGUAUUAAUUUACAGAAUAUUUUCUUUAAUAAUCAAUUUUAGCUGUAUCCUUUUUUGCAAUGGAUCCUUGCAUGGUAUCUUGCACAUUGCAGUAUUUUACCUGUAUUUUAUCAUUUAGGGAUAUUUCUUUUGCACAGUUUUGAGAUAGGCAGACAUUUACUUUCUGAUAUGGCAUCACAGAGGAAUGAAGUUAAAUUUGUUUGUGUGUUUGCAUUGCCUUAUUUUUUAUUAAUGAUUUACUUAAUAGAGUAUGGUUGUGCAAUCCAAAUAUUGUGCAAUACUUAGCCAUGGAGUGUUUAGUUCCAUAACUAAGUUGUUCUUUUUGAAAUGCAAAAAUAUAAAAAUUAUAAUAAGGCCACUAAUUUUAUAAUCAUAGACCUGGAUUUGUUAUCGUGGAAACAUUUUAUUUUGCAGUUACUGUUAUUGUUUGAAGCAGUGUUUUGGGGAAACUAAAUUUUGAAGGGGCUUACCAUUUAAAACUUUCUCAUUAAAGAACCAGAUAUUAAUUUUAUUUCUGCUCCUUCUUUUUAUCUUCUACUUUAUAUGAAUGCUGCAAGUCCUGAGGUGUUUAUCCUGGCUGCUGCAUCUUUGAUUUAAGUAACUCUUUUAAUGUGAUUUCAAACUGCAUUUUUGCCAUCUUUUGGCAAUUGAGCUUCAUAUUGUCAUUAUCAUCAUCAUCAUCAUCCUGCAUAUGUUUGGGUAUUGUUAGAUUUCUUUCUAUCUCUCUGAGAGUAUGUGCGUGCAUGUGCUUUUCCUGCAAUCUGCAAAGCUUUGAACUUCCUGAGGAUGAGCAUUGAUAUGAAUGGUUAAUGGAUUACCCUCUGUUUGGGAGUGGGAGGAAGUGGAAGGGGAGAGAAAAUGGGGCUGUGGGGCCCAUAUAUUAGGAAUCAAAUUUGUUAACCCAUUUUCCACGCACUCCCAAAUAGAGCUAGUGUUUUCCCCCCUCGUAUUUUUGUUAAGUUAUACCUUUGGCCUUUGCCAAAUUUUCUUCCCUUUGACUAGCUAUAGGUAAUUAUAAAAAGUUCUGAUAUAAGUAUUUGUUGUAAAUUAUAUCAGCAUUUUCAACACACUGCCCCUAAAAUUUAUUGCACAAUGAUCAGGUGCUAUGGCCUGAAUGCGGUUGGCAGCCUGUUUCCUUGACCGAUUUGAUUACUGCUGCUGCUGUUAAGAAAGUUUAUAGAAAGGCAACUUUGUGCAUCCAUCCUGAUAAAGUCCAACAAAAGGGUGCCAAUCUUCAACAAAAAUAUAUUGCUGAGAAGGUGUUUGACUUGCUGAAGGAAGCAUGGAACAAGUUCAAUUCUGAAGAGCUAUUUUGAAUUUCUAUGGUGAUAUUUUGCUCCAAACCAUUUGAUUUGGCAAUUACACUAUUCAUUGGGAGUACAAAUGCACAACUGUUCAAGCAAAGAUGUAUUCUCGUAUCUGCUGCAGUUGGUGUUGCGUUGUAUCACUGAUAAAAGCGCCAAUUGGAGACUUUUCAUUUGGAACUGCUGAGAUGCCUGAAGGGUGAAGUAGUCUCCUGUUAUUCAGGUGGCUGUAAAGUGACGUUCCUCCAAGCAUAUUGGCACCUGAAAAAUUGGAAAUGCUUCGUGUAGAGUAUUGUCCUGCCUACCCCAUUUGCCUUUGCAUUAGAUGACGGGGUCCUUUUUUUGGGUUAAUUCUUUUCUAUAUAUAUAUAUAUAUAUGUUUUCUUUGGAUUUUUCGUUUUGGUGGCAGAACAUGAUAUUUUGAGUGGAUACAAAAUAUGUUACUGAUGUCCAAAUGACCAUACUUGGCGUUGUAUGAUGGUUGGGCUGUUAAACUCUGAGCCGUACGUUUCAUACAUAAAUAUAUUUUUUCUGUAAUGUCUUGUUGGUGUUUACUGCCACAAGCAAAAUUCAUGCAUAUAAAAUUUUUCUAUUAAGCUUAAUUUUGUACCUAUUUCAAUAAUGACCCAACUCAUUUUUUU
rnacentral:misc_RNA from 1 species